CCUACGGGAGGCAGCAGUGAGGAAUAUUGGUCAAUGGGCGGAAGCCUGAACCAGCCAAGUAGCGUGCGGGAUGAAGGCCCUACGGGUCGUAAACCGCUUUUGCACGGGGAUAACACCCUCCACUUGUGGAGGUCUGCAGGUACCGUGCGAAUAAGGGCCGGCUAAUUCUGUGCCAGCAGCCGCGGUAAUCCGGAAGGCCCGAGCGUUAUCCGGUUUCAUUGGGGUUAAAGGGAGCGUAGGCGGCCGUUCAAGCCAGCGGUAAAAUCGCGGGGCUAAACCGCGCACCGAAGUUGAAACUGGGCGCCUUGAGUUCACAACAGGCAGGCGGAAUUCGUGGUGUAGCGGUGAAAUGCAUAGAUAUCACGAGGAACCCCGAUUGCGAAGGCAGCCUGCCGGGGUGCGACUGACGCUGAGGCUCGAAGGUGCGGGUAUCGAACAGGAUUAGAUACCCUAGUAGUC
rnacentral:rRNA from 1 species